UACGAAGGGGCUAGCGUUGCUCGGAAUCACUGGGCGUAAAGCGCACGUAGGCGGACUCUUAAGUCGGUGGUGAAAUCCUGGAGCUCAACUCCAGAACUGCCUUCGAUACUGGGAGUCUCGAGUUCGGGAGAGAUGAGUGGAACUGCGAGUGUAGAGGUGAAAUUCGUAGAUAUUCGCAAGAACACCAGUGGCGAAGGCGGCUCACUGGCCCGGUACUGACGCUGAGGUGCGAAAGCGUGGGGAGCGAACAGG
rnacentral:rRNA from 1 species